UGACCUUGACCUUCUCAAGAAACAGCCGGCUUACUCGUGCAGCAGCGCGUA
rnacentral:rRNA from 1 species